rnacentral:rRNA from 1 species
GAUGAACGCUGGCGGCGUGCUUAACACAUGCAAGUCGAACGGAAAGGCUCCUGCUUGCAGGGGUACUCGAGUGGCGAACGGGUGAGUAACACGUGGGUGAUCUGCCCUGCACUUCGGGAUAAGCCUGGGAAACUGGGUCUAACACCGGAUAGGACGAUGGUUUGGAUGCCAUUGUGGAAAGUUUUUUCGGUGUGGGAUGAGCUCGCGGCCUAUCAGCUUGUUGGUGGGGUAAUGGCCUACCAAGGCGUCGACGGGUAGCCGGCCUGAGAGGGUGUACGGCCACAUUGGGACUGAGAUACGGCCCAGACUCCUACGGGAGGCAGCAGUGGGGAAUAUUGCACAAUGGGCGCAAGCCUGAUGCAGCGACGCCGCGUGGGGGAUGACGGCCUUCGGGUUGUAAACUCCUUUCGCUAGGGACGAAGCGCAAGUGACGGUACCUGGAGAAGAAGCACCGGCUAACUACGUG